UACAGAGGGGGCAAGCGUUAUUCGGAAUUAUUGGGCGUAAAGAGCGUGUAGGCGGCCAGGUAGGUCUGCUGUGAAAACUCGAGGCUCAACCUCGAGACGUCGGCGGAAACCAUCUGGCUAGAGUCCGGAAGAGGAGAGUGGAAUUCCUGGUGUAGCGGUGAAGUGCGCAGAUAUCAGGAAGAACACCCGUGGCGAAGGCGGCUCUCUGGGCAACAACUGACGCUGAGGAGCGAAAGCGUGGGGAGCGAACAGG
rnacentral:rRNA from 1 species